CAAGUAUUUAUGAAUUGAAUGUGACAGUUCCUGUGACAUCACAGGUUCUUUAAUUCCUUAUUGUGACCUCCCCUGAUGACAUCAGUGUGGUGAGUUAGGCACAGACUGGGUGGAAGUGGUUGUAAGCAAUGGAGAUUGUAAAUGAGACAGAAGCAGGUAGAUGGAUGAUUUGAAUAACUCAGCUGUCACACCCUUGGAAGGGCUUCAUGUCCUUUUCCAGGGUACCACUUAUGCCUUAGAGUCAGAAGUCUUAUUUGUGUGUGUGUUUUCCUAACCUCGUCUUCUUUGGAGCUUUCCUGGAUUUUCUUAUUUUCUUUUAACAUUUGUGCCUUUACAUUAUUUAGAAUAGCUCAUGGCCAUCCUCCCACAUCCUCCCACAAAAGAGGGCAUCUCCCAUACUUCCCAAGUGCUCAAACUCUUACAAGAAAGAGAUGCGUGUAUCACAAGUUUAGUCUGAAACUAUGAAAGACUCCAUAAAGACAAAAAAAGUCAGCAAUCUCACAAGUGUUUCCUAAGGAGAUGAUUUUAGGAGACACAUAGUAAACGUUUUUAAAAAUUACUUUAUAGUUUCACAUUUAUUUUAAUCUGUAUUUAAAAAUUAUACUCUGGAGCCAGUCUAACUCCUAGAAUCUACCACUUAACUAGCUGCAUGAAGUUGAGCAUGUACCUCUCCGUACUCUAAUUUCUUCAUCAUAAAUAGAAAUAAAAACAGUACAAUCUCACUGAAGAUACUGGGAGAAUUAAGUGAAGGGGGCAAAGAUGCAGUCAUUGCAAAGCAGGAGAAAAUUGAUGACUAUUGCCUUCAGGAUACUGAUAAACUGUCAAAAUCAAUGGAUGAUGAUGGUGAAGAUGAUACCAAUGAUGAAGACAGUAACCCUAAAAAGGAUAUUCCUGCCCCAUUAGAGUUAAUGGCAGAAUUCCUCAGAGCUGAAAUGGGCCGAGACUACCACCUGGCAAAAAAAUUAUGUCAGAUGAUCCUCAUCUAUGAACCAGAAAAUCCUGAGGCCAAGGAGUUUUCCUUACUUAUUGAAGAAAUGUUGCUGAAGGAGGAAGCUCAGAAUCUUGAGGAAGACGAGGAAGAAAGUGAAGAGGACAGCAGCACUGAGAGUGAAGAAGAAACCAGUGAGAACGUGAGCAACGAGAGCACUGACGAAUGCGAAGAUGGAUCAUGACAGUCGCUGCAGUUUAAACAUCAUGUAUUUUCAUUAAUGUAUACCACAGAAAUAUAAAGAAGACUGCCAUAUCUCACUCUAGUUGUUCUUUCUUUGGUACAGUUCUUUUAAGUUUUCCAUAUUCUUUGUUUGAGCUCCUUCCUAAUAUUUAGAUUUAGCUCAAUGUGAAUUAUUUGGAGGAAAAUAAAGAAAAAAUAGUGUGCGCCAAGUGUUGGUCAAACUGCUCUACACACAUUAACUUAUUUCAUCCAACAGCCACAUGAAGAAAGUACCACUAUGAACCUUGUUCCACAGAACACUGAGGCACAGAGAGGGUAAUAGUUUGCCCAGCCUCAUAUACCUAUUAACUUGUACAUCCUGGAUUUGUACAUGGACAUUUGGGCUCUGGAACCCAUACUUACAGUCCAACAUAAGUGAUCACCAUAUUAGACACUUUUAUAUCAUUUGUACUAUAUUCUUCAUAGCAUGCAUCCAUGUCUGGAAUGCUGCUUUAAUUACUUGUUCUUUUCCACCUCUGCUAUCAGCAGAGAAUAUCACCUCCUUGAGGCAGAAUUUAUCUUUUUCACUAUUGUAUCCCUCCCAAUGGGAGGAUAUAUUUUAUAUCCCAAAUGAAUAAAUGGAGUGAAAGGUAAAUAAAAU
rnacentral:lncRNA from 1 species